AAAAUCUUCACAACUUGUUUUUAUUUUAUUUUUAACUUUCUCUUAUUAAAUAAAACAAAUUAAAGAAAUCCAUUUCAUAUAAAAUUUUAAUUCUCUGUUUUUCUUUCUCGUAUAUUAAAAAUAUUUUUUCUUCCUCCUUUAUCAUUAAUUAAAAAAAUUAAAGUGUAUUCAAAUAAUUUUUAAACAAUUAUAAAUUAUAGUACUAGGCAGUUAUCAUUUUCAAGGAAAAAGAAAUGGUAGUCUUAUUGGUAAAUUUCUUAGAAGUGGGGCCAUUAACCAAAUCUAAGUGAUUUAUGAUUCCCGGGUAAUGGGCUUCUAAAUGUUUCACCCAAUUUUUUUUUUUUACACUAUAUCAAUAUUUUUUUAAAAAAUACAUGCAUAAUAAAUAUCAAAUUUAUCUUUUAAUAAAUUAUAAUUUUACUUUCUUUUUUCUCUUUUUUUCUUUUUCUUUUUUUCUCUUUCAUCUUUUUUUCCUCUUAUACUCAAUUGAAU
rnacentral:lncRNA from 1 species